UAAAAAGAUAAGCUAAUUUAAGCUCAUAGGUUCAUACCCUACACAUGAAAGAAAAUCUUUCUCUUUUU
rnacentral:tRNA from 1 species